rnacentral:lncRNA from 1 species
GGAAGAUUGGCCUUGAGCUAACAUCUGUGCCAAUCUUCCUCCACUUUACAUGUGGCAUGCUGCCGUAGCCUGGCUUGAUGAGCCGUGUGUGGGUCCAUGCCCAGAAUCUGAACCCACAAACCCCUGACCACCAAGGGAGAGCACAUGAACUUAACCACUAGGCCACGGGGCUGGCCCUGCCUUUUUUUUUUUUAAUAUAAAGUUUGAAAGCCUUUAGGUGAGGUGUGCCUGUCCAGUCCUCUGUUCAAUCCACUUCCCAAUGCUUUAAUAUUUUAUACAAGUUAACUGUCUGGCUCAAGGCAUUUGAGUCUGUGAGCCCUAAUUUCAGCCUAGCUCCCCAAAUUCUUGGAUCUCCCCCACAACACCUGUGAUGCCUGGCUCUCUCUCCUGCCUAUGCUUCCAGAGGCAGGGAGCUUACGAGGAAGUGUGUUCCAUUGGUGGAAAGCUCUGAAUGAAAAUCAUAACUACAAAUUUACUAUUGAAAUCCUCUUGGUAGCUCACUGUUUACUGCUGACUGCUUUUCCCAUUCCCAGGCAUUCCAUCACAACAUGGAUCUGGCCUUUUAGAUACAUUUUCCUACCUGCUCUUUAGGAAGAAGCCAGGAAAAAUAAUCUCCAUAUGAAGGGCCAUCUGGAGCACCGGGUGUAUAAUAAAUCACUGUGAACAGCAAUUAUACUUACUGGGAGCCCCGUUAUUUUCUUGCAAGUAGAAACAGGAGGAUACGCUAUUGGCUUCUGAAAACAAUGUUGUCACGAACUUCCUUCUGGGAGAGCUGAAGGUCAGGAAGACCCCAGGCUGUCAGUCUGAGAAGAAAGGAGCUGCUAUAGUGGGGGAAUGGAAGACUAUCUGGAUUUUCCUCUUUUCCUUCAGCUGUAGUCCCUACAAAGAUCUAACAUGUUUUUAUCCUACGUAGCUUUUCUUAUAUCCUUUUAGGAAGUAUUACCCUUUGCAAUUUGCACUGAUCUGUUGAUCUUGACCAAGAUGCAGGUUUUCAAGGCAAAGUCACUUAGUAGCUGAAUGACCUUAAGUGAGCCAUCUCCCUCCCUCAGCCACUCCUUCCCCAAGUGGAGAGAGUGGCUAAUG